ensembl:lncRNA
AAAUACGCUUCUGGCAGUAUUCCAGUCGUUGAAGGCGUAACUGAUUUGAGCGAUGCGCCUGCUGUAUAUCCAAUGCUAGCGGUCUGUUCACCGAGUGAACCCCUUGGGAAUGGUAUAGGGAGGAAGGAGAAUAUGCAGGAGACCAAGAAAGAGGAGAAAUACUAUGUCGAGUGGAGGGAAGACUUGCAGCAUUUGCUGCAACCGCGGGUCAAAGGCUACAUGUCCAACAGAAGGACCAUGCUGAGCCAUCGGACGGAGUGAUGCUUGUCGCCCUCUUGGACGCACAGAAGACGCGUGCUCAUCUGCUAAAAGUGAAUUUCAGAAUGUCAGCAGGCGUUGCUGAGGCAACGACGGGGGAACGGGGGGGGGGGGUGUCUAUCCACUGGGGCAUGGAAAGAAUGCUCUGCUGAUGUUCUGCUCAUUAAAUACUGAGCAUUUCCAACCCAGUCCAAAUAUAAACAUUUAACAGCCAGAGACCCAGGUGAAGCAUGUAGACAUAUUCCACAUCAUCUGACAUGAUAUCCUCUUUCAGCCUAAAAGGAAUAUGACUCUGGACAUAUUUAGCAAUUUCACCUCUGUUUCCAUUCCAGUCUUUUCUGUGCAUUGCUGUAAUGUAUAGCUACCACCGCAUUCUCGAAGGACUUGCCUAAAUGUUUUUCUGAGAUAUGAAUGGUUUCUCAUGUUUGUACAUUCUUAGUUUCAUGAAACUUGUAUCUCAGUCUGAAAUAAAAUAAUUUUUGGUCCCGU